UGCUUUUGUUUUUAAUUUUUUUAAGUGUAUCUGUUUAUUUCCAGAGAGACAGAGAUAGUGCAAGUGGGAGAGGGGCAGAGAGAGGGAGAGAGAGAGAAUCCCAAGUAGGCUCCGCACUGUCAACUCAAGAAACCACGAGAUCAUGACCUGAGCCGAAACCAAGGUCAGACUGUUAACCGACUGAGCUGCCCAGGCGCCUCGUGGUUGACAUUUUUGAAAGUGACAGCCUGUCACCUCAGGCUUCACUACGGUAUCGCCUAAGGAUAGGUGGAGGGUUGGGUGAUCUACUCAAGUCCCUUGGGAGUGCAAUGAAAGAGUUUCUAUUGCCAGAGCUCCUGGAAUCCUGGAGAAGGAGUGAGGGCAUACCCAUUCACUUUUUUUGCGGAUAUAAUAACGACGCAUUUGAGUUCCGAGGGCUGGAUUGGAUUCCUCGUCAAGAAAACUUUUAGCUUCAUAAAACACUGCCCUUCCCUUCCAUUUCUUCCCAUUCGACUCCAAUGACAGAAUUCAUAAUUUUCAGGAUGUAGAAGGCAGUAGUUUCCUUAGACAAAAGCGAAGCAGUCCAAUUUCCCAGCCGUUUACAAGAGCAAACACUCCUUUGGCCUUCCCGCCCUCAAGGAAGGGCACCGUGUGUCCCCAAAAAGGUCUGUUCAUGGCGCUCUUGGUACCUUGUGACCUGUGUGAGUGGCCUUUUUUUUUUUCCCUCCAACACAGAAUCGAACUGGCCCGUCUUAUGUGUUUGCGGAUGAAGAAACUCCAGGGUCGGAUUCAUCACACUGUAUUUGCCUUCAGAGGAGUUACCCCGUUGGCUGAUUCCUGAGAGCAUCCAGUGCAGUCACUGUGGGCUAGGGUUUUGCCUGCAUCGAAAUAUAAAGACGGUCAAUAGCCAGGACGGGAGAGAUUCAGAUGCAUUCAAUAACGUUCAGAAAAGACCCUGGGAAGAUAUAUCACUCCACUGCCUUCUGGAAUCAACUGUUGUGGAUGAGGAGUCAGCUGAGAAUGUAAUCGUCAUUCCUUUGUGGGUAAUCUGUAUUUUCUUUCUGGUAACCUAAAGAUUUUUUUUUUCUUCGUCUGUCUGCAUUUCAGUAGGAUGUGCACAGAUGUGUAUUUAUUUUCGUUGACGCUGGAUUUGGUACAUCUCUCAGCAAAUCUGGAAAAUGCUCAGCCAUUAUCUUUCUAAAUAUCUCUGCUCUGCUACUUGCUUAAUUCUACACUUUCAACAUCCCUAUUAGACAUAUUUUGGAGCCCAUCCAUUUAUCCUCCAUGUUUUGAAACUAUGGCUUAAUGAAAAAAAAAAUUUUUUUAAUCUCUCUAUGAUGCAUUUUUUGUUGAAUUCUGAGCAGUAUCUUCCAAUUCACUAAUUCUUGCUAAAUCCAUCCAUCCUGGAGUUUGUCUCAUUUACUGACUUACAAUUUUUAGUGGCCAUAUUUUUCAUUUCCAACAUUUCUAGCAGACAUUUUUCAAAUAUACAUUUUAUAACUGCGUGUGGGGCUCCUGGCUGGCUCAGUUGGUAGAGGGCGUGACUCUUGAUCUCGGGGUUGUGAGUUGGAGCCCCACGUUGGGUAUCAAGAUUACUUUUAAAAAGUAACCGUUUGUACCCCCCCCCCCAGAACUUUUUGUUUUACUCUCAAUUAGAUGUUUGCUUUUUUCCCCAGCUUUUCUUGAGAUAUAAUUGACAUAUACCAUUGUGUAAGCUCCAGGCGUAACAUGUGUUGAUACGGUACAUUUGUAUCUUGCAAUAUGAUUACGACUGUAGCUUUCCAUUACAUUACCAAAUUACCAUUUCUUUUUUUUUUUUUUAAGUUCAUUUAUUUAUUUUGAGAGAGAGCGCACAGGGGAGGGGCCGAGGGAGAGAGAGGGAGACAGAGACGCACAAAUAGGCUCGGGGCUGUCAGCACAAAGCCCAACACGGGGCUCGGACCUGUGAACUGUGAACUGUGGAACCGUGACAUCAUGACCUGAGUAGAAGCUGGACGCUUAACCGACUGAGCCAUCCCAAGUUACCAUUUCUUUUUUGUGGUAAGAACAUUUAAUAUUGACUCCUUGAGCAACUUCCAAGUAUAUAAUAUAAUUCCAUUGGAAUUUGUACCCUCUGAUCAGCAUCUUCCCAUUGCCCAAACUUUUAUCUUUUUGCUCCAGCAUUGCGCUGGACCUUCUCCUCUUGAAACCCGGAUUUCGCCAAAGGUUCUCUCAUCUGAGGGGGAUUAUUUUUGAAAGUGUUUUCCUGGGGCUGCCAGACUGGCAGAGAGGGGCUGGAGCCAGUUCAGGGACCACUGCAGGGUCCACAGCCACGACCGAGGUCUGUCUGCCUGUUUACCUGAUGUGUGGGUGGGUAAGACUCUUUCCAGGUUCCUUGGCAUCCGGCGCUAUGUCCCACAGCUUUCCGAAGGUACUUCUGUCCAUGAUGGAUGAUGGAGUUUGGGUGGCGGUGGCUGGAGGACACAGAUGACGGAUGUCUUCUGGCAUCACGAUGCUGGCUUCACCCUCCAGAACUUACCUGUUUUAAUGUUAGCCUCAGAUCCUUCUAGUAUGUUUAUUGUUGUCUUUUUCGUGAAUGAUCACCCAUCAUGGAUUGUUCGUUGUUGAUCCUGUCGGAUUUCUUCCUUCACGUGAGGUCUCGCUGUGUAUUUUGUGAUUUUGUACUGUAGGCUCAUCUUGAGUGACCUUGUUUGCUUCCCUCCUGUUUUCCUCUGUCCUCGCUCCUCCCUACGUGCCAGGUUUGCAGCUGGCUCUUCAAGACCCCCCAGUCCAGAACCCAGAUUUCUCGUGUGGGGUCGAGGCUGUUGUUGAUCGUAUCGCACUGAGCCAGUGGGCUGCUCAUCCAAGUUUUCGGUAGAGGCUGUGUCUGGUCCCUCCCGCCUGCCUCCUUAUCCCAUUGUAGUAGAAUCUCAGCUUUCUCAACUUUCUUGCAGAAGUGGGAAAAGACUGUCUAGCUCCUAGGCUCACGCCAUCAUCUUGGCUCUCAUCCCCUUCCCUUCAUGGGGAAUGUUUAGUCUUCAUUUUCUCAUAGGAGCCAAACUCCUGGCCGCCUUUUCUCCGUUCCAGCAGCCUGUUCACCACCUUGGGCUUCUGAUCUCCAGAUACGUUGUCCACGGCAGCCUUUGCAUUGGUGUGGCACAAGACGGGAGGGAAGGACUUUGAUUUUGUGGUUAAAGGAAAGGUUAAUUUCCCCCUGUCCUUCUCACAAGAUAUAAAUAAGGAAGCCUGUGGCUCUGAUCAUUACAGGGAGCCAUCUUAUUGCCGUAAGGAACCAUCUUGUGUGUCCAUGAAGAAAGUCAAUAUUAGGGCAAUGUGUCAAGUAUAGGUACGUAUCUUUUUCAUUUUUAUUUUUUAUAUCUUAUAUACAUGUCUCUUUUGCUUAUAUGCUCGUUAUAUUUUAUCUUUUGUUGCCCUAUGUUUAGAAUAGCAGUAGGGUUUCAAGACAGGUAACUUCUAAUUUUUUUUUUAACAUUUAUUUAUUUUUGGGAGAAAGAGGGAGAC